GCCAGUGUGGUGCAGUGGUUUUAGUGCUGGGCUAAGACAGUGGGAGACCAGGGUUCGAAUCCCAGCUCAGCCA